GGCCCUUCGGGGUACUCGAGCGGCGAACGGGUGAGUAACACGUGAGCAACCUGCCCCAGGCUUUGGGAUAACCCCGGGAAACCGGGGCUAAUACCGGAUAUGACCUUCGGACGCAUGUUCGGGGGUGGAAAGUUUUUCGGCUUGGGAUGGGCUCGCGGCCUAUCAGCUUGUUGGUGGGGUGAUGGCCUACCAAGGCGACGACGGGUAGCCGGCCUGAGAGGGCGACCGGCCACACUGGGACUGAGACACGGCCCAGACUCCUACGGGAGGCAGCAGUGGGGAAUAUUGCACAAUGGGCGGAAGCCUGAUGCAGCGACGCCGCGUGAGGGAUGACGGCCUUCGGGUUGUAAACCUCUUUCAGCAGGGACGAAGCGCAAGUGACGGUACCUGCAGAAGAAGCGCCGGCCAACUACGUGCCAGCAGCCGCGGUAAGACGUAGGGCGCGAGCGUUGUCCGGAUUUAUUGGGCGUAAAGAGCUCGUAGGCGGCUUGUCGCGUCGACUGUGAAAACCCGUGGCUCAACUGCGGGCCUGCAGUCGAUACGGGCAGGCUAGAGUUCGGUAGGGGAGACUGGAAUUCCUGGUGUAGCGGUGAAAUGCGCAGAUAUCAGGAGGAACACCGGUGGCGAAGGCGGGUCUCUGGGCCGAUACUGACGCUGAGGAGCGAAAGCGUGGGGAGCGAACAGGAUUAGAUACCCUGGUAGUCCACGCUGUAAACGUUGGGCGCUAGGUGUGGGGGGCCUCUCCGGUUCUCUGUGCCGCAGCUAACGCAUUAAGCGCCCCGCCUGGGGAGUAC
rnacentral:rRNA from 1 species